GACGAACGCUGGCGGUGUGCUUAACACAUGCAAGUCGAACGGAGUGGCGAACGGGUGAGUAACACGGGGGUGAUCUGCCUUGCACUUCGGGAUAAGCUUGGGAAAAUGGGUCUAAUACCGGAUAGUGCAAGAUGAGCUCGCGGCCUAUCAGCUGGUUGGUGGGGUAAUGGCCUACCAAGGCGUCGACGGGUAGCCGGCCUGGGAGGGUGUACGGCCACAUUGGGCCUGGGAUACGGCCCAGACUCCUACGAGGUGCAGCAGUGGGGAAUAUUGGACAAUGGGCGGAAGCCUGAUGCAGCGACGCCGCGGGGGGGAUGAAGUCCUUCGGGUUGUAAACUCCUUUCGACAGGGACGCGAUACCUGUAUAAGAAGCACCGGCUAACUACGUGCCAGCAGCCGCGGUAAUUG
rnacentral:rRNA from 1 species